UACGUAGGUGGCAAGCGUUGUCCGGAUUUACUGGGCGUAAAGAGCGCGCAGGCGGUCGUUCAAGUCGCGUGUGAAAGCCCCCGGCUCAACUGGGGAGGGUCACGCGAUACUGAUCGACUCGAAGGCAGGAGAGGGUAGUGGAAUUCCCGGUGUAGUGGUGAAAUGCGUAGAUAUCGGGAGGAACACCGAUGGCGAAGGCAGGUCUCUGGGCCACUACUGACGCUGAGAAGCGAAAGCAUGGGGAGCGAACAGG
rnacentral:rRNA from 1 species